rnacentral:rRNA from 1 species
UGGGGAAUAUUGGACAAUGGGCGGAAGCCUGAUCCAGCAACGCCGCGUGAGGGAUGACGGCCUUCGGGUUGUAAACCUCUUUCACCAUUGACGAAGGCACCUGUUUAUGGUGUUGACGGUAGGUGGGGAAGAAGCACCGGCCAACUACGUGCCAGCAGCCGCGGUAAUACGUAGGGUGCGAGCGUUGUCCGGAAUUAUUGGGCGUAAAGGGCUCGUAGGCGGUUUGUCGCGUCGGGAGUGAAAACAGCUGGCUUAACUGGUUGCUUGCUUUCGAUACGGGCAGACUAGAGGUAUGCAGGGGAGAACGGAAUUCCUGGUGUAGCGGUGAAAUGCGCAGAUAUCAGGAGGAACACCGGUGGCGAAGGCGGUUCUCUGGGCAUUACCUGACGCUGAGGAGCGAAAGUGUGGGGAGCGAACAG